CAAAAUAUAGCUUAACUAAAGCAUCUCGCUUACACCGAGAAUAUAUCUGUUAAAUCCAGGUUAUUUUGA
rnacentral:tRNA from 1 species